CCAAUUUGGGCUCGGGCUAGUACAAGAAGCUUAGCGGGUUCGUACUGGCCUACCCAUGAGAAUCCGAUCCAGACUCUGAAUCCGAAUCCGUUUUAUCUCCCUCAUCAUCUCACAGAGGACCAUAACCUGCCAAAACCCGUAUCCGAUUUGGGACUGGGGCUCUCUCCUCUCAUCCAUGGCGUCCCUGUCAUUGUAAUUAUCAAAUAUCCAAAGAAAGCUUAAACAAAAACUAAGCUCAUGGCGGCAAAUCUUCUCUCAAACCCUAUACUUUCACCUUCUUUCCUUGGUCAUCAACUGUAAGUUUUUUGCUACAUUUCAUGAAUUAAUUUACAUUUUUUGUAUUAAUUCGAUAUAUAAUCUUGUUCGUAGAUUAUUAUUCCUUUCUUUUCUAAAAAAGAAACUUUAUUUUUGAUGCAGUUCAGCUCAAGGUAAGUCGAAGAGAAUAACGCCGUGCAGCUUCAAUUUUCGGGGUCCUAAAUGUGCUGUGGAUACUCCAUAUGAAGGUAAAUUUACCUGAUCUAGGAAAGAAUUCAAGCACAAAUAGCAUGUCUGGCCAAGCUUAAAACUUUUACUUGCUAGGAUAUUUACUUAUAAUUAAAUAAGUUAGAAAUGAGUCACGCUUCGGUAUAAGAAAGUUACUUAUUUUGGCACUUGACAAUAAGAAAAUAUCAAUUUAACAUUAAUUAUUUUGGGUUUUUGAAUAUUUAUAGGUAAUAUUUCAAAAUUUCCUCGGGUUAAUGUCUGGGAUCCUUAUAAGCGGCUGGGUAUAACUACUGAUGCCUCCGAGGAAGAAGUUUGGAGUGCUCGGAAUUUUUUGUUGAGCCAGUAUGCUGGUCAUGAGAGAAGUGCUGAAUCAAUAGAAGCUGCUUUUGAGAAACUGCUGAUGAGCAGCUUCAGGAAUAGGAAGAAAACAAAGAUCAACUUAAAGACGAGGCUAAAAAAGAAAGUCGAGGAGUCUCCGCCUUGGGUUAAGAACUUGCUUAGUUUUGUGGAAGUACCCCCACCUGUAAUCAUUUUAAGAAGAUUGUUCCUAUUUGCAUUUAUGGCGUGCUGGAGUGUGA
rnacentral:lncRNA from 1 species